rnacentral:tRNA from 1 species
GGUUUGUGGCUCAGUGGUAGAGUGCUUGCCUAGCAGGUGUAAGGGAGGCACUGGGUUUGAUCCUCAGCACCA